AUGCUUAUUAAGGAUUAUAUUGAUGGGUUGCCUUUUACUACUACACAUGAUGAUUUUGAUGAAUAUAAUAUGCAUGUGCUUGCUGCUCCUACUUGCAAUUAUUAUGAGAGAGGAAUUAUAUCUCCACCUCUCUAUGUUUCCAAUACGAUAAAAUUGCAAGAAACUAUUUAUACUAUGCAUUGGUCUUUACUUUGUGAGCAUGAAUUGUUCUUUUAUGACAUGCCAAUGCAUAGGAAGAGAGUUAGACUUCGUCAUUACAUGAUAUAUGUUACUUUGUGCUCACUACUAAAUUACAAAUCAUUGUUAAUUAAAAUUGGCUUUGAUAUACCUUGGGAUCCGGGUGGAUUCAUUACUUGA
rnacentral:rRNA from 1 species